UCAAUUCUUCGGGGCGAGGCGUAAAUCCUCACCGGCGGUUAUAGUCCGUGAAUGCUUAGGCAUUGAUUUGGUGAAAUUCCAAAACCGACAGUUAUAGUCUGGAUGAGAGAAGAAUAGG
rnacentral:ncRNA from 2 species